AGGUUUUCGUUACGGAAGUGAGUGGACGGCUCAAAGCAGCAUCUUGAGCCGUUUUUGUUUGACCACCCGGCAGAAGACAUACAAGCGUCACCCAUAUUUUUCUUUUUGCUAGGAGGCAAAAAAUGUCUGAUCGAGUUGUCGGUACGGUCAAAUGGUUCAACGGAGCGAAGGGCUAUGGCUUUAUCGCCCGUGAGGGCGGCCCGGACGUUUUCGUCCAUUUCUCCGCCAUCCAAGGCGAAGGCUUCCGCAACCUGGAGGAAGGUCAGAAGGUGGAAUUCACCGUCGAGACCGGCCCCAAGGGUUUGCAGGCUGCCAACGUAACGAUCCUUUAAUCGUUCGCUGACCAGAAAACGAGCCUCGUUGAAAAACGAGGCUCGUUUU
rnacentral:sRNA from 1 species